rnacentral:rRNA from 1 species
UGGGGAAUUUUGGACAAUGGGCGCAAGCCUGAUCCAGCAAUGCCGCGUGCAGGAUGAAGGCCUUCGGGUUGUAAACUGCUUUUGUACGGAACGAAAAGCCUCUCUCUAAUACAGGGGGUGAUGACGGUACCGUAAGAAUAAGCACCGGCUAACUACGUGCCAGCAGCCGCGGUAAUACGUAGGGUGCAAGCGUUAAUCGGAAUUACUGGGCGUAAAGCGUGCGCAGGCGGUAUUGUAAGACAGUGGUGAAAUCCCCGGGCUCAACCUGGGAACUGCCAUUGUGACUGCAAGGCUUGAGUGCGGCAGAGGGGGAUGGAAUUCCGCGUGUAGCAGUGAAAUGCGUAGAUAUGCGGAGGAACACCGAUGGCGAAGGCAAUCCCCUGGGCCUGCACUGACGCUCAUGCACGAAAAGCGUGGGGAGCAAACAGGAUUAGAUACCCUGGUAGUCCACGCCCUAAAACGAUGUCAACUGGUUGUUGGGAAGGUUCCUUCUCAGUAACGUAGCUAACGCGUGAAGUUGACCGCCUGGGGAGUACGGCCGCAAGGUUG